CAGAACAUAAUUUAAAGAGAAUACUGGCUUUGGGGGCCAGCAGUGUGGGUUUAAUUCCCGUUGUUUUGA
rnacentral:tRNA from 1 species